rnacentral:rRNA from 1 species
AGCUUGGAGGGUUUGAUCCUGGCUCAGGGUGAACGCUGGCGGCGUGCCUAACACAUGCAAGUCGAGCGGUGCGGCUGGAGGCUUUUGCC